GACGAACGCUGGCGGCGUGCUUAACACAUGCAAGUCGAGCGGUAAGGCCCUUUCGGGGGUACGACGAGCGGCGAACGGGUGAGUAACACGUGGGUGACCUGCCCUCAGCUCUGGGAUAAGCCUGGGAAACCGGGUCUAAUACCGGAUAUGACUCCAUGACGCAUGUUGUGGGGUGGAAAGCCUUGUGCGGCUGAGGAUGGGCCCGCGGCCUAUCAGCUUGUCGGUGGGGUGAUGGCCUACCAAGGCGACGACGGGUAGCCGGCCUGAGAGGGCGACCGGCCACACUGGGACUGAGACACGGCCCAGACUCCUACGGGAGGCAGCAGUGGGGAAUCUUGCGCAAUGGGCGAAAGCCUGACGCAGCGACGCCGCGUGAGGGAUGACGGCCU
rnacentral:rRNA from 1 species